GUGGGGAAUAUUGGGCAAUGGGCGAAAGCCUGACCCAGCAACGCCGCGUGAAGGAAGAAGGUCUUCGGAUCGUAAACUUCUAUCCUUGGUGAAGAUAAUGACGGUAGCCGAGAAGGAAGCCCCGGCUAACUACGUGCCAGCAGCCGCGGUAAUACGUAGGGGGCAAGCGUUGUCCGGAAUGAUUGGGCGUAAAGGGCGCGUAGGCGGCCUGGUAAGUCUGGAGUGAAAGUCCUGCUUUUAAGGUGGGAAUUGCUUUGGAUACUGUCGGGCUUGAGUGCAGGAGAGGUAAGUGGAAUUCCCGGUGUAGCGGUGAAAUGCGUAGAGAUCGGGAGGAAAACCAGUGGCGAAGGCGACUUACUGGACUGUAACUGACGCUGAGGCGCGAAAGUGUGGGGAGCAAACAGGAUUAGAAACCCGAGUAGUCC
rnacentral:rRNA from 1 species